AAACUAUGAUGUGGGCACUUUGUAAGUAAGUCCUUGAAUCUCUCCCAAGCUUCAUACAAACUCUCUUGGUCAUGGUGGACAAAUGUCAUUAUCUCAUUGCGCAACUU
rnacentral:snoRNA from 1 species